rnacentral:rRNA from 1 species
CCUACGGGAGGCAGCAGUGGGGAAUAUUGGACAAUGGGGGGAACCCUGAUCCAGCCAUGCCGCGUGUGUGAAGAAGGCCCUCGGGUUGUAAAGCACUUUCAGUGAGGAAGAACGCCUGGUGGUUAAUACCCAUCAGGAAAGACAUCACUCACAGAAGAAGCACCGGCUAACUCCGUGCCAGCAGCCGCGGUAAUACGGAGGGUGCGAGCGUUAAUCGGAAUUACUGGGCGUAAAGCGCGCGUAGGUGGCUUGAUAAGCCGGUUGUGAAAGCCCCGGGCUCAACCUGGGAACGGCAUCCGGAACUGUCAAGCUAGAGUGCAGGAGAGGAAGGUAGAAUUCCCGGUGUAGCGGUGAAAUGCGUAGAGAUCGGGAGGAACACCAGUGGCGAAGGCGGCCUUCUGGACUGACACUGACACUGAGGUGCGAAAGCGUGGGUAGCAAACAGGAUUAGAUACCCGAGUAGUC